rnacentral:rRNA from 1 species
GCCACGGCUAACUACGUGCCAGCAGCCGCGGUAAUACGUAGGUGGCGAGCGUUAUCCGGAAUCAUUGGGCGUAAAGAGGGAGCAGGCGGCAUUGCAGGUCUGCGGUGAAAGCCCGAAGCUAAACUUCGGUAAGCCGUGGAAACCGCAAAGCUAGAGUGCAGUAGAGGAUCGUGGAAUUCCAUGUGUAGCGGUGAAAUGCGUAGAUAUAUGGAGGAACACCAGUGGCGAAGGCGACGAUCUGGGCUGUAACUGACGCUCAGUCCCGAAAGCGUGGGGAGCAAAUAGGAUUAGAUACCCUAGUAGUCCACGCCGUAAACGAUGAGUACUAAGUGUUGGGGGUCAAACCUCAGUGCUGCAGUUAACGCAAUAAGUACUCCGCCUGAGUAGUACGUUCGCA